rnacentral:rRNA from 1 species
UACGGAGGGUGCGAGCGUUAAUCGGAAUUACUGGGCGUAAAGCGCACGUAGGCGGUUUGGUAAGUCGGAUGUGAAAGCCCUGGGCUUAACCUAGGAAUUGCAUUCGAUACUGCCUGACUAGAGUAUGGUAGAGGGAAGUGGAAUUUCCGGUGUAGCGGUGAAAUGCGUAGAUAUCGGAAGGAACACCAGUGGCGAAGGCGACUUCCUGGGCCAAUACUGACGCUGAGGUGCGAAAGCGUGGGGAGCAAACAGG